AAACAACUGUACAUCAAAAUGAAGCUUAUUUAUAUUGUAGUUUUUCUUGUCCUUGUGGCGGUCAUCGAAGCUGCUAAAGGAAAAUUAAAAUACCCAGGAAGCUGCAAAACUACUAAAUUGGUAAAGUUCGCGGAGAAAUGCGGGUGCCUGGUCACGCCUGGCGCAAAUCACUUAUUGGUGAAGGACCCGAAGACAGGGGUGACGUUGACGGUAAUACCACACACAACGAAAGAAAAUCCCACAUGCCAGAACAUCAUCAAUAUCUUAAAUGGGCGUUGUACAUAACCUUCGACAGCCAUUUUGCUUCAUGAUUGUUUUCUUAUCAUAUUGCCAUUGCCAAACGUUAUUUUCUAUAUUUAAAGUUUCACGUAUUGUUUCAUUGCGAUUAGACAUUUGUUAUUAUCCUAAAAUUCAAAUGUCAUGGUUUGUUAUUCUUCCUGAGCGUCCUGAUCUGUUUAAAAAAUAUUGUUGAAUAUUUAAACAAUUCUAUAUGAGCAACGCUCUGUUAAAAGAGGAAUUAAUGCAUGUGCGUAAAGUGUCGUCCCAGAUUAGCCUGUGCAGUCCGCUAAUCAGGGACGACACUUUCCGCCUUAACUGGAUUUUCGCUAAGAAGAGCAUGUAAUGCUAAUCUUGGACGACACUUUACGCAUAUGCAUUUACCCAUUUAUUCCUAGCGUCUAGAAAUAUGGCCUUGACAAACAGCGUAGACCCAGAUGAGACGCCGCAUUAUGCGUUGUGUCAUCAGGAUCUGCGCUGUUUGCUUAUUCUAAAUAUAGAAAUAAAUAUACUAGACAUCCCUAAUUUUGGAAAUAAAUUGAUCCAAUUAAGAAGGAUGGAGAGUCCACUAGGCAUAAAUGGGUUAAACACCCUUUUCACAUAGCGCAGUCCAUAUAUAAACUGUAUAAUUAUGAAUGCCAAUGCCUAGUUGAGUAUAACGACCUGAACGAUAUGAACUAUUUUGGGCCGGAUUGCUCUCGUUUACUAAUGAUGUACUGCAUGGUAUUCAUACUUGUAAGCAGUUUAUGAUAAUUUUACAUUUAUACAAAUACGAUGUAUACCUUGCGUAAGUUUAUAAGUAUAAGUUUAUUCAAUAUCACUAAUUCUUAACUGCAGUAUUUUCAUCUCAAAUUCAUUUGCGGAAACGCAAGUUCCUUGGAAAUUGAACCUGGAACUAAAAAAUAUGUGUUCGGUUAAACUUUAUUUAUUUUUUUUCGAUCAAGUUUACAAAAUAGAAAAUUUCUGUGCUUAAACAUUUUGAUUUCCGUUUGUCGUUAUGUCAAAUAAUAAUUUCACAAUAAAUUAUGACUAGAGCAUGGUGUUUUUUUCUUGUUUACUGAGGGGAGAUAUCAA